GCAGCAUUUUAGUUUGCUUGCAAACUAAAGAUGGCGACCGGCGCACGGGUGAGUAACACGUAUCCAACCUGCCGAUAACUCGGGGAUAGCCUUUCGAAAGAAAGAUUAAUAUCCGAUAGUAUAUUAAAACCGCAUGGUUUUACUAUUAAAGAAUUUCGGUUAUCGAUGGGGAUGCGUUCCAUUAGUUUGUUGGCGGGGUAACGGCCCACCAAGACUACGAUGGAUAGGGGUUCUGAGAGGAAGGUCCCCCACAUUGGAACUGAGACACGGUCCAAACUCCUACGGGAGGCAGCAGUGAGGAAUAUUGGUCAAUGGACGAGAGUCUGAACCAGCCAAGUAGCGUGAAGGAUGACUGCCCUAUGGGUUGUAAACUUCUUUUAUAUGGGAAUAAAGUAUUCCACGUGUGGGAUUUUGUAUGUACCAUAUGAAUAAGGAUCGGCUAACUCCGUGCCAGCAGCCGCGGUAAUACGGAGGAUCCGAGCGUUAUCCGGAUUUAUUGGGUUUAAAGGGAGCGUAGGUGGAUUGUUAAGUCAGUUGUGAAAGUUUGCGGCUCAACCGUAAAAUUGCAGUUGAAACUGGCAGUCUUGAGUACAGUAGAGGUGGGCGGAAUUCGUGGUGUAGCGGUGAAAUGCUUAGAUAUCACGAAGAACUCCGAUUGCGAAGGCAGCUCACUAGACUG
rnacentral:rRNA from 1 species